CCAAAACAACAAAAGCCCUACCUCUCUCUUGUCCUUGCGGCUCCAAUGACCGCGCCAGUGUGAAUCAGAAUUACUCCAA
rnacentral:sRNA from 1 species